rnacentral:rRNA from 1 species
CUUUCUUUGCUGGCGACCGGCGCACGGGUGAGUAACACGUAUCCAACCUGCCCUUUACUCGGGGAUAGCCUUUCGAAAGAAAGAUUAAUACCCGAUAGUAUAAUGAUUCCGCAUGGUUUCAUUAUUAAAGGAUUCCGGUAAAGGAUGGGGAUGCGUUCCAUUAGGUUGUUGGUGAGGUAACGGCUCACCAAGCCUUCGAUGGAUAGGGGUUCUGAGAGGAAGGUCCCCCACAUUGGAACUGAGACACGGCCCAA